CACGGCGACACCCGGACGUACGAUACCUGUCACGUGGUAGUACGCACACCACAGGGGGUCUUCGUCGCCCGGGCCGGAAUAGUGCCGACCCUUCCGGUACCGUUCCUGAUCGGCCGGGACUGCCCCAUCUUCGCUCGCUUUUGGAGCCCCACGAGGGGGAACCGAGGGGGACGGGAGCUGCACCGUCCGGCCGGCCGAAGCGGGCGACCGGCCCAGCGAGAGGCAAGGCGCCCGCCGAUUCGAGAGUCCGGGUCGGAGUCAGGACCCGCCCCGUCGACCGCCGCAGACCACGGACCAGCCCUGGGAGCGACCCGCCGACCGACCGCCGCGCGGACCGAGUCGGACGACGAGCCGGGUUCCGGUGGAGAGGGUCCGUCAGCGCCGGGAAGCCCGGCCCGAUCUACCGGGGACCAGGUACGACCGGGACCGGGAGACGGAGCGGGGCCCAGCUCCGACACCGUCACCGCCUCCGAGAGGGGGAACACUCCCGAGGAGCCCGAGAGCUCCCCCCUAACUGAGCUAUCGGACUUCGCCCAGGCUGGGGGGGAGAACUCGGCCCGACCGGGACAGUUCGCCACGGCCCAGCAUCGGGACGAUGCCCUGCGGCACGCGUGGGGACAUGUGGUCGCCCACGACGGUCAGGUGAGGGACUCAGUGAGCCACCUGACCCACCCUCACUUCUGUACUCAGCGGGGGUUGCUGUAUAGGGUCGACGUACGCGAGGGGGAGGUAGUACGUCAACUGGUGGUACCGCGACCGUACGUGACUAAGGUUUUAUUCAUGGCCCACACACAUUUGCUCGGCGCACAUCUAGGCAUUCCCCCGGUGCCACGCCCCCCGUUCGGGAGAGUCAAGGCCAGGAUAUACCGCCGGUGGCCAACAGCCAGCGACAAAUCCCGGCCUCCCGAGAGCCGCAAUCGGGGAAACGAGGAACACCUGGGCAGGAGACACCCAGGUGUUAAAAGGAGGCCACCGGCCGACAGCAGGGAGGGAGUCGAGUGGAAGAGAGGACGACGCAGAGGAUCGAGACACCGUAGAGUAAGCCGCACGGCGGACACGUGGACCAUGACUCGAGCAACCCCCCGUCUUUGAUGUACAGCGUGCGCUUGUGUGGCUAUUGGAAACCGAGUGUAAUAAACCGACGUUUGAGGCUUUGGACCCUCACACCCUGCCUGGUCCUUACUUUGAGCCCCUCUACCGAACCGAGUUACCACACUUUUUUUUUUUUUUCUUUAGCUCAAAACAAAGAAGCAGUAGCCUGACUGCUAUGUUCAAAUGAUAUUUGUUCAAAGCAGUCGUUUAAUUGCACCAUAGGCUCUUUUUUUGUAUCGUCCUGUUUUGAUCAUUAUAUAUGCCAAUGUUGUUAUCAAUAAAAAAUCAUUUGCACAAGGCAAGCCGAUGCACUUCACCAUGUUGAUAAGAGAAUUAAAAUGAGAAGAAUUAUGGGACAAAAAAAUCAAGGGAUAUUUAGCAUAGAA
rnacentral:lncRNA from 1 species